UCAAACUUGGUCAUUUAGAGGAAGUAAAAGUCGUAACAAGGUUUCCGUAGGUGAACCUGCGGAAGGAUCAUUAACGAAACGUUUGUCGAGAAGGGUUGUCGCUGGCCUCUAGGGGCAUGUGCACACCUGGAUCGCAUCCACACCUCACACCUGUGCACCAACUGUAGCUUGGGAUGAUUACGGGGCCCCGCGAGGGGUCACGAAUGCCCUCGUCUACGAUUUUUCACACACGCCCUGAAGUAACAGAGAAUGUAUAUCGAACCGCGUCUGAUAAACGCGACAAAUACAACUUUCAACAACGGAUCUCUUGGCUCUCGCAUCGAUGAAGAACGCAGC
rnacentral:misc_RNA from 1 species